rnacentral:lncRNA from 10 species
AAAACAUAGCAACUAUUGAUUUCAGAGUAGGCACUAUAAAGUAUUUUGGAUCCAUUAGUCUGGUUGCUACCUGAAAAUAACUUUAACAAUGCCUCGGUUAAUCAAAAGAGAACUUCACAUAAAAUAUAAAAUCUGGUAGAACACAUUACUGAAUGACAUGAAGUUCUGAUUUUUAUGGCUUUAAGACAAGACCUACUAUUCUAAAUAAUAGGUCUUAUUAUUGAAAGAGACUAGUUAGCUUGUGUAGAGUUGCUGCACUAUUUGAAGUCUAGCAUCUAUUUAAAAGGAAGGUUUAAAGUUAUUCUUAUUUCCACAUUCUAAUCGUGGAGUUUCAAAGGUGGACUGGAAAAAAAAAGAGGUUAAAGAUUAGGCAGACAGUUUGACAAUAACAGGCCCUACAUAAUCCAGGCUGACAAGAGCGCCCUGAUGUUGCAAUGUGCUGAGCAAGUAGUCAGCCUGCCCAUUCAGCUUCCUACUGUGUUCUUUUGCUAAAUGCUUUCUAAUCUCUUAAUGUCUCUUUUGAAAGGUGGGGACCCAAACUGUAUGCAUUGUUCCAGAUGCGCUCUUGCCAAAGCAGCAUAAAGCAAAUGUAACCCUUAGGAAGAAGGCUCCCUCCCUCACUAGGUACAUGCACAUUGAGUAGAACAGUGGCCCCCAACCUUUUUGCACCAAGGACUGGUUUCAUGGAAGACAAAUUUUCCAUGGGCUGGGAGUGGGGUUGGGGGGUGGAGGGGAUGGUUUUGGGGUGAAACUGUUCCACCUCAAAUCAUGAGGCAUUAGAUUCCCAUAAAGGAGCGUGCAACGUGGAACCCUCGCAUGCACAAUUCACAAUAGGGUUCGCUCCUUUGAGAAUCUAAU